rnacentral:rRNA from 1 species
AUUGAACGCUGGCGGCAGGCCUAACACAUGCAAGUCGAGCGGAUGAAGGGAGCUUGCUCCUGGAUUCAGCGGCGGACGGGUGAGUAAUGCCUAGGAAUCUGCCUGGUAGUGGGGGAUAACGUCCGGAAACGGGCGCUAAUACCGCAUACGUCCUGAGGGAGAAAGUGGGGGAUCUUCGGACCUCACGCUAUCAGAUGAGCCUAGGUCGGAUUAGCUAGUUGGUGGGGUAAAGGCCUACCAAGGCGACGAUCCGUAACUGGUCUGAGAGGAUGAUCAGUCACACUGGAACUGAGACACGGUCCAGACUCCUACGGGAGGCAGCAGUGGGGAAUAUUGGACAAUGGGCGAAAGCCUGAUCCAGCCAUGCCGCGUGUGUGAAGAAGGUCUUCGGAUUGUAAAGCACUUUAAGUUGGGAGGAAGGGAAGUAAGUUAAUACCUUGCUGUUUUGACGUUACCAACAGAAUAAGCACCGGCUAACUUCGU